rnacentral:rRNA from 1 species
CCUACGGGAGGCAGCAGUGGGGAAUAUUGCGCAAUGGGCGAAAGCCUGACGCAGCGACGCCGCGUGAGGGAUGAAGGUCUUCGGAUCGUAAACCUCUGUCAGCAGGGAAGAACGGUCACUGUGCUAAUCAGCAGUGAAUUGACGGUACCUGCAAAGGAAGCACCGGCUAACUCCGUGCCAGCAGCCGCGGUAAUACGGAGGUUGCGAGCGUUAAUCGGAAUUACUGGGCGUAAAGGGCUCGUAGGCGGUAUGUCAAGUCAAGUGUGAAAUCCCAGUGCUCAACGUGGGAACUGCAUUUGAAACUGGCAAACUGGAGUGUGUGAGAGGAUAGUGGAAUUCCGGGUGUAGGAGUGAAAUCCGUAGAUAUAUGGAGGAACAUCAGUGGCGAAGGCGAAUAUCUGGAAAAUAACUGACGCUGAGGAGCGAAAGCGUGGGUAGCAAACAGGAUUAGAUACCCCUGUAGUC